GAAAAAGCUGGUCAUUCGGUUGAA
rnacentral:siRNA from 1 species